AAAGUGGAAUCGUGAAAGGCUCCGAGGAUUGUCAUGAAUUUAAGGGAAGAAAGGGAGAUUCGGAAGCGAGUUUCAUGGCCAUCGUUAAUGAGUUCGUUGAAACAGGCAUACAGUGUAAUUUGUUCCGACCAAUCAACAAUUCCAAACUGGAAAGUUGUGGGUUAUUAUUACGCUAUACUGUGUAGUGAAAGAGAGGGUGGAGGUUGUAUAAAAAAUAAAAAAUAAAAGUGGGUGGAGGUGCCUUGCUGUAAAUGUAAUUGAUUUUGAUUAGUUUUUUCUUUGGAUAUAAUUCUUUCCGACAAGCGUCAAAGACUUAUAAAGCCAGUUUAUUUGUAUUUUAUUAUAUUUUUACUUAAAAAUAAAUAAAUAAAUUAAAUGAUAAUGUGUGAUUAUCGGGUUGCUAA